UUUAGUUUAUUUAGUCAGGUUUCUAACAGAAAAAAAA
rnacentral:sRNA from 1 species